GGAAAAAAACAGCGGUUUGUUUACUUCCUAUAUGAACGGGGACCGCCCACAGACUGCCUGAAUGAUUUCCGUAUGAUUAGUUUAGUUUUUUAUUGGAAAAAACCCCCGACAUCAAUCAGCUAUUUAAACGAACCAUGUUUACUUUAAUGUAAAAUCGCAACCUUAAAAAUCUAACCGAAUAAACAACUGUCGGUUAAGGUGCCUCGCAGCAGUCUCGGCUCCUCCGCUAAUCCGGAAAACUCCGGAAAGUUCUGGAGCCGGUAAAGAAGUUUGACCGGAACCGGCGCGCUCACUCAGAGUAGUUUUCACCGUGAUCGUGUUGGCGGUAAAGCGGAAAUGGCUGUUCUAACGUUUUCGUGGCCCUGCUGGAUUUCGAUGCUCGUUGUCGUCGCCAUCGCGUCCACUUUCGCCGGUGAGAUUUCGCCUUGGCGCCGAACCGAACCGUGUUUUGCUAUUCAUAACAUCACUGAACACUCCAAAACAAAUCACCCCCGCUGACUGUGAAAACGUCAUUAUGUGUGAUUAAGUAUUCGAAGCCUUUUAUUGGUUAAAAAAUGUUCCAAAAUCUCAAAGUUGUGGCGACGUCAGGUCAUCGUAGAUGGCGCAUUGGUCGGAGGUUUGGGAGCCGUUGAAUGGAAGAGUCGCGAGUUUAAACAUGAAGACUUGAGAUAGUUCCCUGCGGUGCUUACUUGUCAAACAUAUUGAGCCACAAACAACGUUCCUGUCAAAUGGGAGAAGCUGCUAUCAAUUUUCUGCUAAGAACUUUAAUAGACAUACAAAAAACGCCUUUCAAGAGUGCCAGUAUAUAACAUUUCUUUCAUUUUGUUAAGAUGUUUUAAUAGGGUAAAAAAGACGCAGGCACAAAUAUGCUUGCAAACAGGGCCGCCUCCAGACAUUUUCUUAGCCAUAUGGGGGCUCGUCCUAAGGCGACUAUUGUUGUGAUUUGGCGAUAUAUAAAUGAAAUUGAAUUGAACUGAACUGAAUAAGAAAACCCGAUAAGAUUUUGAAAUCCAUAAUAAAAUCCUCUCUCUUGUGCUCAGUCUGCCAUCGCUGUAAAAAACAAAACUGAUCCAUUGGAGUGAAUAGCGAUGACGCGACUGAUGCGUUGUAGUGUAUCAAAUCCCCCCACGGCCGAAAGAGUAGGAGGGCCGCCUCUUCAACGUCACACUGGAUGCUCAUAUUCACAGAAUUCCGGUAAACUAGGCGCCACAUGAGUUCUACUGAUAUGCCCAAAUAUCAAACUGCAAUAUUUACUUGGGGAGUUUACGCUCCACUGAUUAAAAAGGCAUUUUUGAAAUGUUUUUGGGAAAUGCAUCACUUGAACCUAUGCAACUCUGCAAAAGCGGAGCUCUGAGGAAAAUGAGUGUUAGGGACACACUAAGAAGAAGAAAAAUAUUUUCAUUUUGAAGGGUUUUUUUUAGAUCUUUGGGUUUGUCAACCAAAAAAAAUAAACAAACAAACAAACAAAAAACUGGUGCUCCAGAGUGGAAGGAGAGCAGACAGGAGGAUGAGUACACCCCCCAGGACUUGGGAUUUGGACAUUGAAGCCAAUGGUGGGUGUGAAACAUGAAGAUGUCAUGGGCCAGACAAAGACAGCUGAAUCUGGAAAGGACGUCACUCUGCCAUGUCAAGCUCCACACAACAACUGGAUAGGUGUAAAGUGGCGCAAAGCUGACCUGGGGGAAGAAUAUGUCUAUUUGAACCGCAGAGGGCAACCUCAGCCACAAGGGCAGCAUCCAUCUUUUAAGAACUGGGUGGAUCUGCAGGACAGACAGAUGAAAUAUGGAGACCUGUCUUUGACCCUUAAGAAUGUCACGAGGAAUAACACUGGAACAUACGAGUGUCUUGUCUUCGAGGAAGAAACAGACUCGUGGAAAUCACUGAGCAACAUCAGCCUGACUGUUGUUGAUCCUCCAGGUCACACAGGAGGACACACAGAGGAUGGAUCUGUUGGACUCAUAGUUGGACUGACAGUUUGUACUUUGUUGCUCUUUGCAGUCAUUGCUGGGAUAAUUUAUAAAUUCGUUACAUGCAAGGAGAAGAAUUCUCAUGACCUUCCUGCUUCAGAAGUUUGUCUGAAGAAAACCAUUUUUUCCUUUAACCCCGUGUAACGGAAAGAGACGGAGACAGAUUGUUUUAUUUUUUCAUGAAUACAUGAACUGCACUCUGGGUUUGGACCCCUGAACAUCAGACAAACCAGAGUUUCCCACAGCAUCAUCCUGUCAUUAAGAUGAUGACCACAGCAGCAUGAUGGACACAUCUCCGAGUUCCUGUAACUUCAACUUUUAGUGUGGAUAAAACACAUGAUCAACGGGGCGUGGAGAGAGCUUAACUUUCCUGGUACAAUUAUAAACUGUAUAAAUGAAGGACUUGGACACGGUGACACCAACCUUUGGCUAGACUCCACAUUUUAAAGCCUCCGUGUGUGGGUUGAUAAGUUUAUCUCCAGCAUCCAGGUGGAUGUUAAAAAAGAAAAUCACCCCUGUAGAGUUUGUAUAAAGUAAGAAACUGUCAACAGAGAAUGAACCUGUUUUUAUACCUGUGCAAAGGUGGACAUUUGAACAUGUAUGUACUUAUUUAUGGAGAAAUCUAGUCAUGAAAUCUGUUGUGCAGUAUUUAAGAUGCUAAAAACAUGCUAAUAUAUGA
ensembl:lncRNA